rnacentral:rRNA from 1 species
AAACGCUGGCGGCGACACAUAAGACAUGCAAGUCGAACGGAAGUCGUUUUAGUGAUUUAGAUAUGAAAGAUUUAUCCGGAUUUGAAGAUGAUCUAAAACAAUGGCUUUAGUGGCGGACUGGUGAGUAACACGUAAGCAACCUGCCUGUUAGAGGGGAAUAACAACGAGAAAUCGUUGCUAAUACCGCAUAUGCCAUAGGAACCACAUGGUUCUAGUGGGAAAGGAGUAAUCCGCUAACAGAUGGGCUUGCGUCUGAUUAGAUAGUUGGUGGGGUAACGGCCUACCAAGUCGACGAUCAGUAGCCGGACUGAGAGGUUCAACGGCCACAUUGGGACUGAGAUACGGCCCAGACUCCUACGGGAGGCAGCAGUGGGGAAUAUUGGGCAAUGGGGGAAACCCUGACCCAGCAACGCCGCGUGAGGGAAGAAGGCCUUCGGGUUGUAAACUUCUUUUAGCAGGGACGAAGGACGUGACGGUACCUGCAGAAAAAGCAACGGCUAACUACGUG